GAGCCUGUGGCUCAAUAGUAGGGCAUUCGACUCAAUAACCAAAGGUCGCGGGUUCGAAUCCCAGGUUUG
rnacentral:tRNA from 1 species